GGGAGUGAUGGUCUAUCGAGACAUGAUAGCCAAUCAAGGGGUUACUGCUAGUGUCUUGUUUUGCGAAGUCAAUCGGCCAAUGCUUUAUGCUAUAAAGCAACUUGUUCAUGGCUAAUUAGUUGUUCAUUGUGUCAAAAGUGUGAAUUUAGGAGUUGUAUUUAACGUGCUCUUGUCAUUUCAGGAGUUUUAUGACUGCUCUACAUCGUGUGGGUGGUGAAACACUUUGGUUAACAUCUCUCCGACUAUCAAUUUCGUGUGCUUGCAAUGAUCGCAGAUGGUAUGAAUGUUGUGGCUGUUGAAGGUGGAAGCAGAUUUAUCAAGCGGUAUGCAAAGGUGUUCGACAUAAACUGCGUUGAGGCUGUGAAAGAGGAGGAAGAAGAUGAAGAGAAAAAUGAUGCAUAGCCUCCUCACAAGUGUGUUGGUGUGGCAAGUAAGUGUUAGUUCAUGAAUGCAUGGCUGAAGCUGCUAGUCAAAGUUCUUUGAUGAUGACUACUGACUAGUAGUAAUUGGACGGAGGCUGUACUCAUGGAAGUAUUUUGGAUUGUUUAUCGUUACUACUUUUACUCUUUUAGUAGUUUUGCAAGUGUACUGGGAUCAUUAAUGAUAUUUGUAUAAAUAUCAUAAAUGACAUGUUCACUGAAACAUUUUAUCCAUGGUGUAAACGUCACACUAAAUUUGCUUAAAGUGAGUCAUCUUUGUA